AUUGAACGCUGGCGGCAGGCCUAACACAUGCAAGUCGAACGAGUGGCGGACGGGUGAGUAAUGUCUGGGAAACUGCCCGAUGGAGGGGGAUAACUACUGGAAACGGUAGCUAAUACCGCAUACCAUCGGAUGUGCCCAGAUGGGAUUAGCUAGUAGGUGGGGUAACGGCUCACCUAGGCGACGAUCCCUAGCUGGUCUGAGAGGAUGACCGGCAACACUGGACAUGAGACACGGGCAGAACUCCUACGGGAGGCAGCAGUGGGGAAUUUUGCACAAUGGGCGAAAGCCUGAGGCAGCCAUGCCGCGUGUAUGAAGAAGGCUUUGGGGUUGUAAAGUACUUUCAGCGAGGAGGCGUUACUCGCAGAAGAAGCACCGGCUAACUCCGUGCCAGCAGCCGCGGUAAUUC
rnacentral:rRNA from 1 species